rnacentral:rRNA from 1 species
GACGAACGCUGGCGGCGUGCUUAACACAUGCAAGUCGAACGGUAAGGCCCUUCGGGGUACACGAGUGGCGAACGGGUGAGUAACACGUGGGUGAUCUGCCCUGCACUUCGGGAUAAGCCUGGGAAACUGGGUCUAAUACCGGAUAGGACCACUGCCUGCAUGGGUGGUGGGGGAAAGCUUUUGCGGUGUGGGAUGGGCCCGCGGCCUAUCAGGUUGUUGGUGGGGUGAUGGCCUACCAAGGCGACCACGGGUAGCCGGCCUGAGAGGGUGACCGGCCACACUGGGACUGAGAUACGGCCCAGACUCCUACGGGAGGCAGCAGUGGGGAAUAUUGCACAAUGGGCGCAAGCCUGAUGCAGCGACGCCGCGUGAGGGAUGACGGCCUUCGGGUUGUAAACCUCUUUCAGCACCGACGAAGCGCAAGUGACGGUAGGUGCAGAAGAAGGACCGGCCAACUACGUGCCAGCAGCCGCCGUAA